GCGGGAGCAAGGUGGCCGAGUACGGCGGCCGCAGUUCCUUUUUCCAGACUGCACCAAGUUUGAACCACACUUUUGUCUGAUCAAUCAUUGAUCUCAGUUCACAGUAAGCUCACGCAGGUUGGAUGUGUCCGACUUGACGGCGCCGUUUUUAUUCCCCGCUCCUGCAGUCACCUGCAGCUCACGUUAGACUAUCAAGACGGCGAAAGUCAGCCGCCGUCAUCUCAAACGCACCUAUUAUGUGCUGCAGGAGCUAUCAGAGGUGCUUCGGACCAUGGUGAUGAGAGUAGGGCUACAAAUGGGCACUACUCUCGGGGUUUUAUUCCUGGUGCCUGUGUUUGGCCUGUUUGCUGUUCUCACUGUGUCCAUUCUUUUGGUAAUGGAGGGUCUGUCUGCAUUCCUUCAUGCCCUCCGGCUGCACUGGGUGGAGUUUCAGAAUAAAUUCUACAGUGGGACUGGAGUCAAGUUCAUCUUAAACGACUCCAUGUUCCUUUUGAGAAUAUCACCCUCAUGCAAUAAUAAAUUGUAUUUGUUUUGAAUUGAGUCUUCCUCCU